UUGAGUACGUGGACGUAGACCCGAAACCGGGUGAUCUACCCCUGUCCAGGGUGAAGGUGCGGUAACACGCACUGGAGGCCCGAACCCACGCAUGUUGAAAAAUGCGGGGAUGAGGUGGGGGUAGCGGAGAAAUUCCAAUCGAACCCGGAGAUAGCUGGUUCUCCCCGAAAUAGCUUUAGGGCUAGCCUCGGAAAGAAGAAUCGUGGAGGUAGAGCACUGAUUGGGUGCGGGGCCCGCAAGGGUUACCAAGCUCAGUCAAACUCCGAAUGCCAUAGAUUUAGUUCCGGGAGUCAGACAGUGAGUGCUAAGAUCCAUUGUCGAAAGGGAAACAGCCCAGACCAUCAGCUAAGGUCCCCAAGUGUGUGUUAAGUGGGAAAGGAUGUGGAGUUGCACAGACAACCAGGAUGUUGGCUUAGAAGCAGCCACCAUUGAAAGAGUGCGUAAUAGCUCACUGGUCGAGUGACUCUGCGCCGAAAAUGUAACGGGGCUAAACACACCACCGAAGCUAUGGCUUGAUGCUU
rnacentral:rRNA from 1 species